rnacentral:rRNA from 1 species
AGGAAGUAAAAGUCGUAACAAGGUCUCCGUUGGUGAACCAGCGGAGGGAUCAUUACCGAGUUUACAACUCCCAAACCCAAUGUGAACGUUACCAAACUGUUGCCUCGGCGGGGUCACGCCCCGGGUGCGUCGCAGCCCCGGAACCAGGCGCCCGCCGGAGGAACCAACCAAACUCUUUCUGUAGUCCCCUCGCGGACGUAUUUCUUACAGCUCUGAGCAAAAAUUCAAAAUGAAUCAAAACUUUCAACAACGGAUCUCUUGGUUCUGGCAUCGAUGAAGAACGCAGCGAAAUGCGAUAAGUAAUGUGAAUUGCAGAAUUCAGUGAAUCAUCGAAUCUUUGAACGCACAUUGCGCCCGCCAGUAUUCUGGCGGGCAUGCCUGUCCGAGCGUCAUUUCAACCCUCGAACCCCUCCGGGGGAUCGGCGUUGGGGAUCGGGACCCCUCACACGGGUGCCGGCCCCGAAAUACAGUGGCGGUCUCGCCGCAGCCUCUCCUGCGCAGUAGUUUGCACAACUCGCACCGGGAGCGCGGCGCGUCCACGUCCGUAAAACACCCAACUUUCUGAAAUGUUGACCUCGGAUCAGGUAGGAAUACCCGCUGAACUUAAGCAUAUA